rnacentral:rRNA from 1 species
UACGGGAGGCAGCAGUAGGGAAUCUUCCGCAAUGGACGAAAGUCUGACGGAGCAACGCCGCGUGAACGAUGAAGGCUUUCGGGUCGUAAAGUUCUGUUGUUAGGGAAGAACAAGUACCGGAGUAACUGCCGGUACCUUGACGGUACCUAACCAGAAAGCCACGGCUAACUACGUGCCAGCAGCCGCGGUAAUACGUAGGUGGCAAGCGUUGUCCGGAAUUAUUGGGCGUAAAGCGCGCGCAGGCGGUCCUUUAAGUCUGAUGUGAAAGCCCACGGCUCAACCGUGGAGGGUCAUUGGAAACUGGGGACUUGAGUGCAGAAGAGGAGAGUGGAAUUCCACGUGUAGCGGUGAAAUGCGUAGAGAUGUGGAGGAACACCAGUGGCGAAGGCGACUCUCUGGUCUGUAACUGACGCUGAGGCGCGAAAGCGUGGGGAGCGAACAGGGAUUAGAUACC